UGGGUCACCUUUGAUUCAUAUCAUCUGUGCUCGUUGUUUGUGUGGUGUUUAUCUCUCAACUUGUUUAGUCAAGGUAGUUAUUAGUUUGGUGUCGGGAUGCUUCUACUACUCCCCGGUUCUUUCAGCUAUAUGGUCCCUUCCCUUUUUCCUAAGUUCUUUCGGGGUUGGGGUCUUGGUUUCUAGACGAAGCAUGUAUACGAUCAUCAUUCUCUUGCGAGGAGAUGAGCAUUUCUUGUUCUAACGAUACAUUCUCACGGGUCACGAUUGUCCGUGUGUAAAAGUUGUUCAUCUUCGAUUACGUUUUUCCAAAAUAGUCCAGGGUACGUAAAUAAGUUAUGGAGCAAGAUCACAAGAUUAAAGAGCUAAUCAAGAGUUGUUAAAAUGAACUAAUCAAGAAAUCAAAUUGUUUUGGAAGACAUUAAUGUUAUUUUUCUCUUUAAAGUUAAGAUGGAAAAAGAGCUAGUAACAAGAUCUUGUCAAAAUCGCGUUUUCCAUUGUUUUCGAUAAGAUUGGAACUUAGAAGCAAAUACAAAAGAAAAAGAAGACGCAAAUCGGUUAAAGAAAUGUUGAUAUGAAAUUCUCAUGAAGCAAAACUGAUUUAUAUUUAAUUGAAUCAAAGAAGAAUCAUUAUGACAUACACAGAACAACCAAAGCCAGUUAAUUAAAUCAGGUAGUAGAAAAUUAAAUCAAGGUGGUAUACAACAACAUUCAAAAUAUAUUCCACAGCUUUAAUCCGAUCAAACAA